AGGACGAACGCUGGCGGCGUGCUUAACACAUGCAAGUGGAGCGACGAACCAGGGCUUGCCCUGGGGCAGAGCCGCGAACGGGUGAGUAACACGUGGGUUACCUGCCUUGAUGACUGGGACAACCCGAGGAAACUCGGGCUAAUACCGGAUGUGCCCGCAAGGGGAAAGGAAGCUUCGGCCUCCGCAUCAAGAUGGGCCCGCGGCCCAUUAGCUUGUUGGUGAGGUAACGGCUCACCAAGGCUUCGAUGGGUAGCUGGUCUGAGAGGACGAUCAGCCACACUGGGACUGAGACACGGCCCAGACUCCUACGGGAGGCAGCAGUGGGGAAUCUUGCGCAAUGCGCGAAAGCGUGACGCAGCAACGCCGCGUGGGGGAAGAAGGCUUUCGGGUUGUAAACCCCUUUCAGUUGGGACGAAGCUUCGUCGGUGAAUAGCCGGCUGGAGUGACGGUACCUUCACAAGAAGCACCGGCUAACUACGUGCCAGCAGCCGCGGUAA
rnacentral:rRNA from 1 species